rnacentral:rRNA from 1 species
AGCGAACGCUGGCGGCAGGCCUAACACAUGCAAGUCGAACGAACUCUUCGGAGUUAGUGGCGGACGGGUGAGUAACACGUGGGAACGUGCCUUUUGGUUCGGAAUAACUCAGGGAAACUUGUGCUAAUACCGAAUGUGCCCUUCGGGGGAAAGAUUUAUCGCCAUUAGAGCGGCCCGCGUCUGAUUAGCUAGUUGGUGAGGUAACGGCUCACCAAGGCGACGAUCAGUAGCUGGUCUGAGAGGAUGACCAGCCACACUGGGACUGAGACACGGCCCAGACUCCUACGGGAAGCAGCAGUGGGGAAUCUUGCGCAAUGGGCGAAAGCCUGACGCAGCCACGCCGCGUGAUUGAUGAAGGUCUUAGGAUUGUAAAAUUCUUUCACCGGGGACGAUAAUGACGGUACCCGGAGAAGAAGCCCCGGCUAACUUCGUG